AGCGAACGCUGGCGGCAGGCUUAACACAUGCAAGUCGAACGCCCCGCAAGGGGAGUGGCAGACGGGUGAGUAACACGUGGGAACGUACCCUUUGGUUCGGAAUAACUUGGGGAAACUCAAGCUAAUACCGGAUAAGCCCUUAUGGGGAAAGGUUUAUUGCCGAAGGAUCGGCCCGCGUCUGAUUAGCUAGUUGGGGAGGUAAUGGCUCACCAAGGCGACGAUCAGUAGCUGGUCUGUGAGGAUGAUCAGCCACACUGGGACUGAGACACGGCCCAGACUCCUACGGGAGGCAGCAGUGGGGAAUAUUGGACAAUGGGGGCAACCCUGAUCCAGCCAUGCCGCGUGAGUGAUGAAGGCCUUAGGGUUGUAAAGCUCUUUUACCCGGGACGAUAAUGACUGUACCGGGAGAAUAAGCCCCGGCUAACUUCGUGCCAGCAGCCGCAGUAA
rnacentral:rRNA from 1 species